rnacentral:misc_RNA from 1 species
GGAAGUAAAAGUCGUAAUAAGGUUUCCGUAGGUGAACCUGCGGAAGGAUCAUUAUUGUAUAACCGAGGUGCGUGGGCUGUCGCUGUCCCGAAAGGUCGUGCACGCCCGAGUGCCCUCACACACAUCCAUCUCACCCCUAUGUGCACCACCGCGUGGGUCCCCCUUUGGCUUGUUCGGAGGGGGGCUUACGUUUUCACACAAACUUUGUAUGCAGUGUAGAAUGUAUUUUUUGUUUUUGCGAUCACGCAAUCAAUACAACUUUCAACAACGGAUCUCUUGGCUCUC